AGUAAAUAGAUACCCUGGUAGUCCACGCUGUAAACGAUGAGUGCUGGACGUUGGCGGGUUUACCUGCCGGUGUCGCAGCUAAACGCGUUAAGCACUCCGCCUGGGGAGUACGGCCGCAAGGUUAAAACUCAAAGGAAUUGACGGGGGCCCGCACAAGCGGUGGAGCAUGUGGUUUAAUUCGACGCAACGCGCAGAACCUUACCAGCCCUUGACAUGGGCGGACGGGGUCCAGAGAUGGACUCUUUCUCGCAAGAGACCGCUACACAGGUGCUGCAUGGCUGUCGUCAGCUCGUGUCGUGAGA
rnacentral:rRNA from 1 species